CCUGAGCCCGGGGCUCGACGCCGUGCGCCGGGACGUGACCGCCCUCGAGCGCGAGCACGUGCGCGCGCACCUGCGCGCCCGCCGAAGGCUGCUGGAGAUCGAGAGCCUGCUGGACGAAAUGACCAGCGAGGUGGAGGCCGAGCGCAGCCCGGGCGCCGAGGCGGAGGAGCGGGUGAUGAAGCUGUGCGAGAAGGUGGGGAAAAAGGCCGCGGAGGCCGCGCGGAUGGGGAGGCGCCUCGUGGAGCUCCACCAGCAAAUCGCCAGCUACGAGUGUUGCUGAAGGACGCGGGAGCGGGUUAUCCGCUGAUGGAGUCCGUUCAGCCGGUAAGGAGGACUGACUGCUGGGAGAGGCUGAAACCGAGAGAGUCAUUCUUUUUUCUGUCCCUUGUUUUUCUGUCUGCGUUUUCACCAUGGUAAACGCUAAAUCUCCAGUACCUUCCCGGUAGAUGAUUUCAGUAUUAUACUGCCGUAUGUGGAUUAUGAUUACCAGGUGCAUUCAGUUUGGAAAAGACAGCUUAUCAUUAAAUGCUCUCACGUAAAGAAAUAGGCCCGAGAUUGUAAGCUGCUGUAUGGUCAUAUUUGUUACGGUGAUUAUUGUAUUUUUUUAAGUUUGCAAGUAUAUUCUUGUGCUUUGCUUUUUUUUUUACGUUUCCUGGAAUUUGGGGUUCCAUGAGAGGGACUUGAGGUCAGAGGUCUGCAAGAGAGAAGACACUACUUGGCUGCAGCUGCUUAAGCAAGAACCCCAACCCCAGGCGAGGGUGUGGAUGCUUCUACUUUGGAUAAGCUUGAGAAGGCCCAGAGAGCGGUUGGGCAUGUACGAAUCUGGGGACUGUGCAGUUCCUCAGCUCAAGGAAGAGAGCUGAGUCUUGGGGGGAGGGGGAGGUUGGUUUUUCUCAGCGAUGUAAUUAACUGGUAACGUCAAGUAACCUGUCUGGUGAGUAAUCUAGGCUAGGGGAUGAGUUCUAGGUACUACGUGUAUUUCCUGCCUUUGGGGUAAACGUUUUGAUAUAAUACAAUCAUGCAUUUUAGGGGCUUCUCUGCCACAAAUGCCCAUGACCUCUGGAGGGGUCAAGGAGGAAAGCGUGGCGCUGGCUACAGUGGGCCCCAGACUGAUAGCAGGAGACGUCUUCCAGGCUCACGUGAUGUCCAGCCUAGGUUCUCAGAGCAGACUUCACAGGGAUUGAGAUCAGACCUCUAGCUUGUUACGAUAACUUCAUUGCCUGGAAAAGCAAAUGGUGAAAACCAGUUUUUAGAAUCUUUGUACAAAUGAUCAAAGUCACUUGGCCAGGAAAAGGUGAGAUAAAUAAAUUUCUUUCAAAGUGAAA